rnacentral:rRNA from 1 species
GAUGAACGCUGGCGGCGUGCCUAAUACAUGCAAGUCGAGCGAAUGGAUUAAGAGCUUGCUCUUAUGAAGUUAGCGGCGGACGGGUGAGUAACACGUGGGUAACCUGCCCAUAAGACUGGGAUAACUCCGGGAAACCGGGGCUAAUACCGGAUAACAUUUUGAACCGCAUGGUUCGAAAUUGAAAGGCGGCUUCGGCUGUCAUUUAUGGAUGGACCCGCGUCGAAUUAGCUAGUUGGUGAGGUAACGGCUCACCAAGGCAACGAUGCGUAGCCGACCUGAGAGGGUGAUCGGCCACACUGGGACUGAGACACGGCCCAGACCCCUACGGGAGGCAGCAGUAGGGAAUCUUCCGCAAUGGACGAAAGUCUGACGGAGCAACGCCGCGUGAGUGAUGAAGGCUUUCGGGUCGUAAAACUCUGUUGUUAGGGAAGAACAAGUGCUAGUUGAAUAAGCUGGCACCUUGACGGUACCUGACCAGAAAGCCACGGCUAACUACGUGCCAGCAGCCGCCGUAA